rnacentral:rRNA from 1 species
AACGCACCUUGCGCCCCUUGGUAUUCCGAGGGGCAUGCCUGUUUGAGUGUCAUUUUAUCAUCAACUCAUUAGUCUUUCAUUAGGCUAUUGGGCUUGGAUUUGGGAAUUGCUGGCUUGAUCUUUACCCAUUGAACAGUAUCUAAUACUUAAUAGAGGGUAAAGUGUAGUCGGCUGUCCUUAAAAGCAUUAGCGAGUGUUAGUCUACAUGGCACGGCCUCUUGACGUGAUAAUGAUCGUCGUGGGCUGGAAGUGUAGUGUCUGGCUUCUAAUCCGAUUGUGUGCAUACGGCCCUUAAAGCUGGAAGCGCAAUCAAAACCGACUACGUGCAUACGGCCCAUAAAGCUGGAAGCGUAAUCAAAAUGACCUUUGACCUCAAAUCAGGUAGGACUACCCGCUGAACUUAA